GAUGAACGCUGGCUACAGGCUUAACACAUGCAAGUCGAGGGGAAACGACGGGGAAGCUUGCUUCCCCGGGCGUCGACCGGCGCACGGGUGAGUAACGCGUAUCCAACCUGCCUCUGACUGAGGGAUAACCCGUCGAAAGUCGGCCUAAUACCUCAUGGCAUCGUCUGCGGGCAUCCAACGACGAUUAAAGAUUUCAUCGGUCAGGGAUGGGGAUGCGUCUGAUUAGCUUGUUGGCGGGGUAACGGCCCACCAAGGCUACGAUCAGUAGGGGUUCUGAGAGGAAGGUCCCCCACAUUGGAACUGAGACACGGUCCAAACUCCUACGGGAGGCAGCAGUGAGGAAUAUUGGUCAAUGGGCGGGAGCCUGAACCAGCCAAGUAGCGUGCAGGAGGACGGCCCUAUGGGUUGUAAACUGCUUUUAGGCGGGGAUAAAGUGAGGGACGUGUCCUUCAUUGCAGGUACCGCAUGAAUAAGGACCGGCUAAUUCCGUG
rnacentral:rRNA from 1 species